CCCUGUGUAAUCUCGAAUUGGCAAAUACCCCCUGUCAAAAAAAAACUCACCAACGCCUCCCUAUGUAAUCAAAGUCAAUGCAUCUAAACCCCUUAAGGCAAUUCGUGUCUCUCACUCGCGGGCUGUGCGAAUUUUUAUGUUAUUUCUAGGGUGAAAUUUCAUAAAUACCCCUGUAUAAACAAAAAAAAAAAUCUGUCAGAUUAAAUUAUAAAUAACUAUAAUUUAUAGGGCCAAAUUGUGAAUUUUAAAAAUUUCAAAAUUGCAAAAUAAGGAACAGCUCCUCUUCCCCGUUUCAUUUCCGCCGCCCACCUCCCAACCAGGAAAAGUCCGGCAUCGCCGCCGCCUUCUGGCCCACCUAGCACCACCGCCGCCUUCUGGUCCAUCUAGCACCACCGCCGCCUUCUGGCCCGUCUCGCACCACCGCCACCCACCUACUCCUUCAAAUUGCUCUCCCUCGUCACCGCCGCCGUCUGACACCACCCAUUUCUUAGUGAGAAAUAUAGGAGAGAGUUGUGUAUGGGUGAACCGGUGGUGGUGCAAGAAGGGUGAGCCGGUGGUGGGGCAGCGGCGUGGAAAGAAAAAAUGUUGAGUUGGGUGGUUGGUGGGGUG
rnacentral:lncRNA from 1 species